AAUGGGCGAAAGCCUGACCCAGCAACGCCGCGUGAAGGAAGAAGGCCUUCGGGUUGUAAACUUCUUUGACCAGGGAAGAAGAAGUGACGGUACCUGGAAAACAAGCCACGGCUAACUACGUGCCAGCAGCCGCGGUAAUACGUAGGUGGCAAGCGUUGUCCGGAUUUACUGGGUGUAAAGGGCGUGUAGGCGGGAUUGCAAGUCAGAUGUGAAAUGCCGGGGCUUAACCCCGGAGCUGCAUUUGAAACUGUAGUUCUUGAGUGAUGGAGAGGCAGGCGGAAUUCCUAGUGUAGCGGUGAAAUGCGUAGAUAUUAGGAGGAACACCAGUGGCGAAGGCGGCCUGCUGGACAUUAACUGACGCUGAGGCGCGAAAGCGUGGGGAGCAAA
rnacentral:rRNA from 1 species